rnacentral:rRNA from 1 species
AGGGAAUAUUGGACAAUGGGGGCAACCCUGAUCCAGCCAUGCCGCGUGAGUGAAGAAGGCCCUCGGGUUGUAAAGCUCUUUUGUCCGGAAAGAAAAGCUUCGGGUUAAUACCCCGGGGUUCUGACGGUACCGGAAGAAUAAGCACCGGCUAACUUCGUGCCAGCAGCCGCGGUAAUACGAAGGGUGCAAGCGUUACUCGGGAUUACUGGGCGUAAAGCGUGCGUAGGUGGUUGUUUAAGUCUGAUGUGAAAGCCCUGGGCUCAACCUGGGAAUGGCAUUGGAAACUGGGCUGCUAGAGUGCGGUAGAGAGUAGUGGAAUUCCCGGUGUAGCAGUGAAAUGCGUAGAGAUCGGGAGGAACAUCUGUGGCGAAGGCGACUGCCUGGACCAGCACUGACACUGAGGCACGAAAGCGUGGGGAGCAAACA